rnacentral:rRNA from 1 species
UACGUAGGGUGCAAGCGUUAAUCGGAAUUACUGGGCGUAAAGCGUGCGCAGGCGGUUAUAUAAGACAGAUGUGAAAUCCCCGGGCUCAACCUGGGAACUGCAUUUGUGACUGUAUAGCUAGAGUACGGUAGAGGGGGAUGGAAUUCCGCGUGUAGCAGUGAAAUGCGUAGAUAUGCGGAGGAAUACCGAUGGCGAAGGCAGCCCCCUGGGUCAAUACUGACGCUCAUGCACGAAAGCGUGGGGAGCAAACAGGAUUAGAUACCCGGUAGUCGU